rnacentral:rRNA from 1 species
AUUGAACGCUGGCGGCAGGCCUAACACAUGCAAGUCGAACGGUAACAGGAAACAGCUUGCUGUUUCGCUGACGAGUGGCGGACGGGUGAGUCAUGUCUGGGAAACUGCCUGAUGGAGGGGGAUAACUACUGGAAACGGUAGCUAAUACCGCAUAACGUCGCAAGACCAAAGAGGGGGACCUUCGGGCCUCUUGCCAUCGGAUGUGCCCAGAUGGGAUUAGCUAGUAGGUGGGGUAACGGCUCACCUAGGCGACGAUCCCUAGCUGGUCUGAGAGGAUGACCAGCCACACUGGAACUGAGACACGGUCCAGACUCCUACGGGAGGCAGCAGUGGGGAAUAUUGCACAAUGGGCGCAAGCCUGAUGCAGCCAUGCCGCGUGUAUGAAGAAGGCCUUCGGGUUGUAAAGUACUUUCAGCGGGGAGGAAGGGAGUAAAGUUAAUACCUUUACUCAUUGACGUUAACCGCAGAAGAAGCACCGGCUAACUCCGUG